AAUACAUGUACCUCAAUAAUUUUAUCAAGGGCAUGUUUUGUGCUAGAUACUACUCUUUAUGUUAGGAAUAUAAGCAAUUGUAUAAGAUACUUACAGAUUGCAGUAAGUGGUAAAAAAUAUAACAUGAAGAGGGAAUAGUGAUGAGAAGGUAACUAUAUAGGGGAGUGGUCAGGGAGUGCUUCACUGAAGAUGUAAAAUAUGAACUGAAACCUAUAUCCUGAUUUAAAAUAGCUUUGCAGAUGUUUUAGGUAAAUAGCAGCAAGCGAACAAUACCAAAGUAGAAUGACUCCUGCCUGCUACAUUUCCCCAGAUACCCAGGACCUUCAUGCUGUCACUCUCCAUGACCUGACCAACAUCUAUUUUGAGAAAUUAUUUUAUAUACUCAUUCAAACAGUCAUCUUUUGUGUCCAGAGUUGGUUCCUUCUGGUGGGUUCGUGGUCUCGCUAACUUCAAGAAUGGAGCCACGGACCUUCGCGACACUUCUAUUUAAACUUCUUGGAAGGAUAUCUCAAUAACAUUCCUUUGCUGAGGACCAUAAGAUAGAAGAUGAGAAUCCAUCUGCCCUCUUCUCUGCACCCAGGCUUCAAUCCUGUUUGAUCAUGCAGGGGCUACAAGGCCUUCGACACAAAGAACUUGUCUUAGAUUCUAAUCAGUUUAACAAAUAGGACAGACAGCUGCUGAGCACUGUCUGAGUGACACUGAUUUACAUACAAAUGAACCACCAAUGUCCCCUUCUAUCAACUCAGAAUAAAAUCUGGUUUUAGCAUAUGCAGUCCUACGAGACAUGGUUAAAGGAUAUGAAUGAUAGAUAGAGAUAAAAGAAAUCAAGGACCAUUCCUCCACAAGUCUCCAAAGAGGAAAACAACAAUCGAAGAAAAAAGAGUGAGAGAACA
rnacentral:lncRNA from 1 species